ACAAAUGAGGACAUGUUCCAAGAGGGAAAGGUUAUAGCGAUUAUGUAAAAUUGAGUCAUAAGCGUAUAGCUUUUCCCCUUUGGCAUUUGUCAUUGUCAUC
rnacentral:pre_miRNA from 13 species